CUCACCCAGACUCUACUUCCAGAGGCCCCCAGGUGAUGCUGUGGAUGGGCUGGAUCAGUGUCUGAGUGCAACAAGGUAACAAGGAACCAGAACAGAGGAACGAAGAUCUUACAAUUUCACUGUAAUCAGAAGAGUAAACAACUGGAUGAUUC